CACACCCUGCGAUGCUCGUGUAUAACCGUGAAGUUUUGAUCCAACACCAAAACUUAGGGAGCCUGACCUCUGGUCGUGGCUUACAGGCCCUACCAUUUCAAGGGAAGUAAAAAGCGAUCAGGGAGGCACCCACCUGUUGAGAAGCAGGUUUUAAAACCACGGUGAACACGGCAUAUGUGGGGUUUUU
rnacentral:other from 1 species